UACGAGGGGGCAAGCGUUGUUCGGAAUUAUUGGGCGUAAAGGGCGCGUAGGCGGUUUGACAAGUCUGAUGUGAAAUCUAUGGGCUCAACCCAUAGCCUGCAUUAGAAACUGUCGGGCUUGAGUAUGGGAGAGGUGAGUGGAAUUUCCGGUGUAGCGGUGAAAUGCGUAGAUAUCGGAAGGAACACCUGUGGCGAAAGCGGCUCACUGGACCAUAACUGACGCUGAGGCGCGAAAGCUAGGGGAGCAAACAGGG
rnacentral:rRNA from 1 species